rnacentral:rRNA from 1 species
AUUGAACGCUGGCGGCAGGCCUAACACAUGCCAGUCGAGCGGAUGAAGGGAGCUUGCUCCUGGAUUCAGCGGCGGACGGGUGAGUAAUGCCUAGGAAUCUGCCUGGUAGUGGGGGAUAACGUCCGGAAACGGGCGCUAAUACCGCAUACGUCCUUAGGGAGAAAGUGGGGGAUCUUCGGACCUCACGCUAUCAGAUGAGCCUAGGUCGGAUUAGCUAGUUGGUGGGGUAAAGGCCUACCAAGGCGACGAUCCGUAACUGGUCUGAGAGGAUGAUCAGUCACACUGGAACUGAGACACGGUCCAGACUCCUACGGGAGGCAGCAGUGGGGAAUAUUGGACAAUGGGCGAAAGCCUGAUCCAGCCAUGCCGCGUGUGUGAAGAAGGUCUUCGGAUUGUAAAGCACUUUAAGUUGGGAGGAAGGGCAGUAAGUUAAUACCUUGCUGUUUUGACGUUACCAACAGAAUAAGCACCGGCUAACUUCGUG